AUUGAACGCUGGCGGCAUGCCUUACACAUGCAAGUCGAACGGCAGCACGGGAGCAAUCCUGGUGGCGAGUGGCGAACGGGUGAGUAAAGUAUCGGAACGUGCCCAGUCGUGGGGGAUAACGUAGCGAAAGUUACGCUAAUACCGCAAACGAUCUAUGGAUGAAAGCGGGGGCUCGCAAGACCUCGCGCGAUUGGAGCGGCCGAUAUCCGAUUAGGUAGUUGGUGGGGUAAAGGCUCACCAAGCCGACGAUCUGUAGCUGGUCUGAGAGGACGACCAGCCACACUGGGACUGAGACACGGCCCAGACUCCUACGGGAGGCAGCAGUGGGGAAUUUUGGACAAUGGGCGAAAGCCUGAUCCAGCCAUGCCGCGUGCAGGAUGAAGGCCUUCGGGUUGUAAACUGCUUUUGUACGGAACGAAAAGGUUUGGCCUAAUAAGCUGAGCUCAUGACGGUACCGUAAGAAUAAGCACCGGCUAACUACGUGCCAGCCGCCGCAGUAA
rnacentral:rRNA from 1 species